ACUUUAUUCCCAUAUAAAAGAAGUUUACAACCCAUAGGGCAGUCAUCCUUCACGCGUACUUGGCUGGUUCAGACUCUCGUCCAUUGACCAAUAUUCCUCA
rnacentral:rRNA from 1 species